rnacentral:lncRNA from 1 species
UAAGGCAGCAACCAUUUGAUUUUCUGGGGGGGCUAUGGUUUUUUUUUCUGUACAAACUUUUUUUUUCGCCUGUGGCGAAAAACAAUCUAUUUUUUUCGCGACAAGUCGAAAACAAUUUUUUUUCUUUCAAUUUUAGCAUUACAUAUAGUGGCAGCUGAGGGUGUAACAAACAAUUUUUUUUUUCAGAAUUCAAAACAAAUUAUUUUUUUCUCCAAAAACUGGAAAACUUUUUUUUCCAAAAAAAACCAUAGCCCCCCCCCCCAGAAAAUCAAAUGGUUGCUGCCUAAGUGGAACCCUAAAAAAGUGGGUUUUUUGGGGGGAGUUUCAUUGGAUAGUUAACCCUGCACAUAGUAACUCACAAAUGUGCGGUCUUACAGGUGUUUGUAUAACUGUAUGCAAAGGAGUUUGAAUUCUUAGCAAUAACAGUGUCAAACUCGACUAUCAAGCCACUACCGGCACUAUAGUUUGUAGCAC